rnacentral:tRNA from 1 species
GUUAUAUUGGCAGAUUAGUGCUAUAAAUUUAGGAUUUAUAAAUAUGAAUUUAUUUCGUAUAUAAUA